CCCACACCCAUGUGUGUAGGACCUCAAAGGAUCACCAUUAAAUUUGGUAUAGAUCUCUAGAAAAGUCGCACAUCUAUGUGAUAACUUUUCUAGAGAUCUGUGCCAAAUUUAAUGGUGAUCCUUUGGGGUCCUAUACACAUGGGUGUGAG
rfam:Amborella trichopoda AMTR_V1.0_contig_21535, whole genome shotgun sequence.